CUGUGUCAUUUUUUUCUUCUGAAAAUUAUGAUUUUCUUGGAUUAGUAGGACUCUAGGAAGUUUUCUUCCCCCAGAAAUACUCCUUGUUUUGGAAGAGAAGAUUAUGUUCAAGCUAUUCUCCUUGUCUUGCUCUUAUACUUUGUUCAUUUCUACAUGUAUUCAGAGGGUUGGCUUUAACAUGAGGGCCAGGCCUACUGGGAGGUGAAUUUUGAGGGGAAUUGCCCAUCAACUCUGGCUCCAGAAAAUCCAUUAGGAAAUAUUGAGCUCUGUGUAGGGCCUGACUCCAGAGGAGACUGAUGGCAGAUGGCCAUGCAGCCUCCUUCUCUUCUCCUGGCAAUACGUGAAAGUGCUGCCACCACCAUGUUGCUGCCACAGUUGUUGUUAGUUUCAUCUUCUCCUUCUCCUCCCCCUUUUAUCUGAUGGUGCAGGCUUCUCUUCAUUUUUAUCGGUGCCACAGCCUUCUUCUGUGACUAGGCAGGAAGACUCAGGUGCUUUCAGUAUUUAGUGAGAGCAACACCACAGAAGGCAGGUGGCAAAUGGCAGAGACAUACUACCUCACAUGUGCUCAUAUGUAGUAUCCGUGUGAUGUGGCACUGCCCUUCCCACUUCCUGACAGUGGGAGAGCUUGGGCACCCCACUCCUUAUUAUGCAUUUCUUCAUCUCACUCUCCAGUUUACAGGGUUGUCACAUCAGGUUACCAAACAUCAGUCAGAACAAUGAGAUGUUAUUAAAACUGUAGAUUAAUCUGGUGCCAUCCUAAAUGCUAGGCUACAAAUUCCAUAAUCCCAAAUUUGUAUUCUCCAUGAUCUACAAUCAGAGUAAUUAUAGUAGGAAACUUCCAGAGGGCAUCAGUUUGCGAAACACUUGAGGCGGCUAUUUACAGAAGUGACAGUUACGUCAGUUGAUGGAAUCUUCCUCUCCAGCGGAUAGAGCAUUUAAAUUCUGAAGACAAAAAUAAGGGAAGACUUGGAAUCAUCAUGUUUCAAAUUGUAUCAAAUCCAGUGUCUGCUGUGGGGACCCAGCAUGCACUGUGUAGAAAGCUGCAAAACAAUUCUGAUUUUGUAUCUCUGUAUAACUACAGUAUAAGGGCAAUCCAAUUCACAAGUAGGCAUCUAAGGAUGCCACUUCCUUUCCUGGACGUCCAAUUUUGCUGAAGAGAGGAAGAGACAGCAUGCGUGGGAAGUGAGGAGUGCUUUGCGCUAUGAGGUGGUAAAUGCAGAAGCUUAAAAUGGAUUGAGAUUGGUGGUAAUAGAGAGUGAGGAAGACGAGAACUUCAGCUCUGACUGAGAAAAAUGCUUCAGAGAUCAGCAAAGACAGGGGCCUACGUUCCUCUGCUUCUGACCUAAAGAUGCCACUGAGCAAUGGACAUCAUUCCAUCAGCUUAUUCCUUAGCAGGCUAAUGAAGUGGAAACAAUGAAGAAUAAGGGGAGAUCACAAAAGAGCAGAGUCAUAUUGGAUAUUGCUGCUGACAACGAGGAAAGGAUUGUCCGUAGGAUUCAAUGAGAGGAUUAAUCAGAAGGGGAAGAGAGAGACUAAGAAAAGGGAUGCACACUGUGCUCAAAAUCUCAGACCAAUUCCCAAGAUAAUUGAUUUUUAUAUUGUAAAUAAAUCAUAAGCA